GCAAAGAGUAACUCAUUUUGAUGCCUCUCGCUACCCCUGGCCCUAGUUUUGAAAGAAUCACGCGACACACUCGCACUCCACUACCCCAUCCCAUGGAAAAACGCUCCCACCAUCGAGGUGUUGACCAAAAUUUCGCUGUGUGCAUGAGACACACACUCGCACUCCUCCAGUCCUCCACAGCUGAACGCUCCCACCGUUGCGACAUUUGCGAGAAUUUUUGCUCUGAGCGUGAGACCCUGAAGCGCAAGGGAUGACACUAUGUGUAAAGACGAUCAUAAUUCAAUAUGGUCAAAAUGCGUCGAUUGUCGUUUCAUUUAUCUGGUAAUGAUGUAUUCACUUCAUCAAAAAUUUUAAACGUAGGCUGUACUAGGCUGAUAACAAUAUUUGAAAUUGAAAUCAGAAUAAAAUCAAUUCAUUUGAAGUAAAAUAAAUUCCAUUAUACUCUAUUUUGUCCAUAUGAUCAACACUUGUACAUAGUGCCAUUUAUUUUGUGUUCUUCACUCUCGCGCUGUGUUGUGAUCGUUCGAAACUCAUCGCCAGAACGAAUGCAAAUCUCAUAUGGGAAGGAUUGGUGCCGGAAGAUGCAGCGAAAAUUAUGAAAUGAUAAUAGAAAAGUGGUUAAGUUAAUCGUGAAAGAUGUCAACGCAGGCGCAAAUGCAGUAUGUUUUGUUACAUGAUCUACGGCUAUUUCAUUGCCAAAGCUCCUGAUAACAGAUCAAAGCAGAUGGAUCGGGCUUACAGAGUCGCCAUUUAACUUCAAAUAUCUUCGUGAUCGGAAAACGCAUCAAACAGCAAGUGUUUUUCUUCCAACAGCACGCGCCAUCGGUGGAGCAAGCAGCCAACGUUUUGAUCGCUAGUACGCGCCAUCAAGAAUAGAAAUAUUCCCGAAUAGCUCUGUGAAUAAAAAACUGCACAUUUACUGUCCGAA